rnacentral:lncRNA from 1 species
UGGAGCUCUGAUCCCGUUUCUACACCUUCCAGGUGCUGCUGGAAGACACAGCUGUCGAACCAUCAGUGGCAACGCAGAGUGAGAGAAAAUGCGAAACUUCCGUUUCUUGCAUUGCUUCCAACCCUGGGUCUGUUCUGUGUGAUUGUGAUUGCAGGAGCUCAACUCAGGCUUGUUCUGUGAAGCCGGAACCCUUGGUGAUGGAGCCUCCGGGGAAUGAGCUGGUGCUGUGGCGCCCUCUGGUGUCCACGUGGCUUCCGCCAGGACUUGCAAGAGGCUGCGCAGAAGGCGCAAAGGAAGAUUUUUAAAAACAUCUGUCCAACUUUCCUUCCUCCUGCAAAAAGAAUGCUGCAGGUAGUGUGAGAGGUCUCAUGCCUGUCUCAUGCGCAAUAGUAUGAGUGAUAAGAUCGGCCUUUCAUGAGAAGAUAACGCAGCAAGCAUAACCCAAAUGGUGGGUCCCGGCCAGGGGGAUCUCUUCUCAGAACAGGUCUACGAAAGCCCAGGUUUGCUUUAGCUGUUUCUUUGCUAAAGCCAAACCCAGCUCUGCUUUCUCGAACAACCUGAGCCCGAAGGUCUUUACUCUACUCUGCUCUGUGUCUGCCAAGGACAAGAAAGAAGGAGAAAGGAUGCUGGGUCCGGAGAACGACUCCUUAGGAACGAGAAGAGAGAGGGACUAACAUAUACUUCCAGGACCCUGGUCCUGCCUCUGUGACCCGUCCUGCACUUUGAUCUCCUGGCGCUCCUCAGACUGGGCGGCUCCAGCUGUUUGACUCUGCAACUGACAUCGGUCAUACGCGCUCUGCUUUCACUCGGAGGCCGGGAUCUAGUCCCCAGCACUGGUCUCAUAACAGAUCACUGGAAGGAAGAAGCAUAGCCUGAUCACCCAGCCUGAUUGAGGAUGAAAUGGAAAUCUAGGGGUCAGAAGAAAAUGGGAAAGGAACCAUCAGCCUCAGUCAUUUCAACAGAGCCAACCCACAGACCAUGACCAAGCAAAUCUUGCCAUCGUGAUCAUGACCAGUUAGCAUUUAGAAUGUAUCGCUGUAUGCUUUGAUGAUUUUGAUGCUGCCUUUUUGGAUUUACCCUAUAAGAAAGACUCCCUGAACUCCAACACUAUCUCCAGCAUUAUUCACAUUUUCAGGCAGUGUGGUCCCCCAGCUAACAGCAUUAGCACCAGCUCAGAGCUUGCUAGAAAUGCAAAUGCUUAGACCUACUGAGUCAGGAAUUUGGGGCACGGGCCCAGCAAUCUGUGUUUUACAAAACCUCCCAGGUAAGCGAUAUAUGCUAGGACCCUUACAAGGGAAAACAGAGGGGAUCCAGUAUGUGCUGUGUACCUUCCUUGGCGUUUUCUUGUAUAUGAUUAUAUAGGUGGGGUCAGUUUGAGUGGUUGGUGAUCUGAGAUGAUGCUGAGCUUCAAAGAGGAAGACCUAUUGGACAGCUUUCCAUGUAUUUGCAGAUGAAGUGCCACCAUUUUGUUUGAAAUGAGUUUAUGUAUAAUACAUAUACAUUAUAUUUAAACAAGAAUACGUGUUACUAAGUAAAGUAUAAAAACCAAACAUACUCCUACCAUGUGAUCCAGCAAUUGUAUUCCUUAGUAUCUAUCCCCAAAGAAUUGACGACAUCGCUGGAUGUGAUGGCUCAUGCCUGUAAUCUCAGCACUUUGGGUGGCUGACGGGGGUGGAUCAUGAGGUCAGGAGAUCAAGACCAUCCUG